CGUCGUCACCGGGCGCCCGUCAGCACUCAGCUCUAGCGUCUCUGCACCUUCCUGCCGCUUUUCCAGAAGGCUGCGGGGCAGCAAGGAUCAAAGACUCAGAAGCCACCAGCCUCUUCUCUCCACUGAGGAUCACGGAAAGAAACCAGGUCAAGGCACCGACAGGAGGGGCAUGGCCACCAUCAAUUGCUGAGGAGAGACAGGAAACAGACGGAAGGUACCUUUCUCUUCCGAUGGAAGGCUGCCCUGCUCUCCUCAGAGUUGAUCUGCAGGGGGAUACAGGCAUCCAGAUGGUACAGCUGCUGGGGGCCCCCCAACACCAGGCGGUUCUCCCCAAUCUCCAGCGACAGCCCCAGAGCUCCAUCCUGGGAAUACAGUGGAGUGAGCCCGCCCUUCCGUUCCCAGCAAUGGGACAAUAACAACAUGGACCAGGAACAAAAGCCUGCCCUGCAGCCUCGGGGAGCCUUCUCCGUGGGCAUCCUGCUUCUCCCCCCUCGGGGUUCCCAGAGCCCCAGGACACCGCCUCCUAUGGAGAGGAAGGAUUGAGGGAGGGAUUCCAAAAAUCACUGGAGAGACACAAGAGAGAGAACCCAUCGAAGGCCCACCCUGCC